rnacentral:snoRNA from 1 species
ACGACCUUACUUGAACAGGAUCUGUUCUAUAGGUUCGUACCUCUGUUUCCUGGAGUUCGAAGGAGACAGGAUCUCAAGUCUGGCGGAUGAAUCGUGACCGUGUGAUCAGAGCGUGAUUAAUGGCAGAAGCGGUUCUCGAACCGUUGAUGCUGUAGAGGAUCGUUCUCAGUUGGGUUUGAUCCUGACUGGGGGUGGUCACCCGGUUAUCUGACAGACC